rnacentral:lncRNA from 1 species
GUAAAAUUUGAAAUAAAUAUCAUAUAGAAUGAUUUUCUGGUUCAUUUACAGGCAGCGACUUUCCAGUUGGACAGUGCACCCUUUAUUUACUUUGUUUAAGUUUAAAUAAAUAAAGUACUCUAAGUCUUGUGUUUGUUUGUUUUUAUUUAUUAUAUUGAGUUGUGUGAUUUAUGGUUACAUUUUGUCUCUAUAAUUUGGAACUCCAUCAUCCGAAUUGAUAAAUAGAAAAUAAUAAGAUAAUUUGCAAAAUUAAUAUAAAAAAAGGAGUUUAAUUUAUAUUAACAAUCUUGUGACUAUCCUAAGACCAUCAUAAGUAACCUCUCGUGAAGUCUUUAAUUUCUGAUCAACUUUAGAAAAUGUAAAAAUUUAGGAUUAUUUUGUGAAACCCACGAAGGACUAGAACAUACUAUAAAACCAUUUGACUAGAUGAUUGCUUUUUUGAUGAAAAUCCAUAAAAUUCUUGUUUUUCCUCAUUAUUUCAUUAUACAAAUGUAUUAAUUUUAAACUAAUUCCUAUAUGAAAAAGGGAUCCUCAACACACACUUGUACUUGUAAAAGACUGUAUUAUGAGUAUACUUUAACGAUAGGUUUAAACUGGUUGUAAAUUGAUUAGCCCCUAAUUAAUUUAUGUUUUUAUAACAAUUAAUCUGUAACAAAUAAUUCAACCUAUGCCAACAUUU